rnacentral:rRNA from 1 species
CCGCGUGAAUGAUGAAGGGUCUUAGGAUUGUAAAAUUCCUUCAGCGGGGACGAUAAUGACGGUACCCGCAGAAGAAGCCCCGGCUAACUUCGUGC